rnacentral:rRNA from 1 species
AACGAACGCUGGCGGCAUGCCUAAUACAUGCAAGUCGAACGAGAUCUUCGGAUCUAGUGGCGCACGGGUGCGUAACGCGUGGGAAUCUACCCUUGGGUUCGGAAUAACAGUUAGAAAUGACUGCUAAUACCGGAUGAUGACGUAAGUCCAAAGAUUUAUCGCCCAAGGAUGAGCCCGCGUAGGAUUAGCUAGUUGGUGGGGUAAAGGCCUACCAAGGCUACGAUCCUUAGCUGGUCUGAGAGGAUGAUCAGCCACACUGGGACUGAGACACUGCCCAGAUUCCUACGGGAGGCAGCAGUAGGGAAUAUUGGACACUGGGGGAAACCCUGAUCCAGCAAUGCCGCGUGAGCGAUGAAGGCCUUAGGGUUGUAAAGCUCUUUUACCCGGGAUGAUAAUGACAGUACCGGGAGAAUAAGCCCCGGCUAACUCCGUGCCAGCCGCCGCCGUAA